UGCUAGGUGGUGUAGUUGGUAACAUCCCCUCCACGGUAAGGAGGGCGCCGCAGGUUCGAGUCCUGCCCUGGCAA
rnacentral:tRNA from 1 species